GCACUGCUGACGAGUCCCUAACAGAACGAAACAGCUGUCCAAUGC
rnacentral:hammerhead_ribozyme from 1 species